GAUGAAGAACGUAGCGAAAUGCGAUAAGUAAUGUGAAUUGCAGAAUUCAGUGAAUCAUCGAAUCUUUGAACGCACCUUGCGCCCUUUGGCUAUUCCGAAGGGCAUGCCUGUUUGAGUAUCAUGAACACCUCAACUCUCGUGGUUUGCUACGAUGAGCUUGGACUUUGGGGGUUUUGCUGGCCUGUGGUCGGCUCCUCUCAAAUGAAUCAGCUUCCCAGCGUUUGGUGGAGUCGCAGGUGUGAUACCUAUCUACGCUUGUGGUUUUUCGCCAGAUAACCUUUGGUGACGGAGGUUCGUUGGUGCUCAUAAAUGUCUCUCCUCAGUGAAGACAGCUUUUGAACGUUUGAUCUCAAAUCAGGUAGGACUACCCGCUGAACUUAAGCAUAUCAAUAAGCGGAGGA
rnacentral:misc_RNA from 1 species